rnacentral:rRNA from 1 species
AUUGAACGCUAGCGGGAUGCUUUACACAUGCAAGUCGAACGGCAGCGCGGACUUCGGUCUGGCGGUGAGUGGCGAACGGGUGAGUAAUGUAUCGGAACGUGCCCAGUAGCGGGGGAUAACUACGCGAAAGCGUAGCUAAUACCGCAUACGCCCUACGGGGGAAAGCAGGGGAUCGUAAGACCUUGCACUAUUGGAGCGGCCGAUAUCGGAUUAGCUAGUUGGUGAGGUAACGGCUCACCAAGGCGACGAUCCGUAGCUGGUUUGAGAGGACGACCAGCCACACUGGGACUGAGACACGGCCCAGACUCCUACGGGAGGCAGCAGUGGGGAAUUUUGGACAAUGGGGGCAACCCUGAUCCAGCCAUCCCGCGUGUGCGAUGAAGGCCUUCGGGUUGUAAAGCACUUUUGGCAGGAAAGAAACGUCGCGGGCUAAUACCCCGUGGAACUGACGGUACCUGCAGAAUAAGCACCGGCUAACUACGUG